UUGCACGCUGGCGGCAGGCCUAACCCAUGCAAGUCGCGCGGAUGAAGGGAGCUUGCUCCUGGAUUCAGCGGCGGACGGGUGAGUAAUGCCUAGGAAUCUGCCUGGUAGUGGGGGAUAACGUCCGGAAACGGGCGCUAAUACUGCAUACGUCCUGAGGGAGAAAGUGGGGGAUCUUCGGACCUCACGCUAUCAGAUGAGCCUAGGUCGGAUUAGCUAGUUGGUGGGGUAAAGGCCUACCAAGGCGACGAUCCGUAACUGGUCUGAGAGGAUGAUCAGUCACACUGGAACUGAGACACGGUCCAGACUCCUACGGGAGGCAGCAGUGGGGAAUAUUGGACAAUGGGCGAAAGCCUGAUCCAGCCAUGCCGCGUGUGUGAAGAAGGUCUUCGGAUUGUAAAGCACUUUAAGUUGGGAGGAAGGGCAGUAAGUUAAUACCUUGCUGUUUUGACGUUACCAACAGAAUAAGCACCGGCUAACUUCGU
rnacentral:rRNA from 1 species